UCACACUGGGUAAAAAAGCUACUAGAGCCUUUCCUGGGAUAGUGCUUGGGGUGUGCUACAGACCGCAGGGAUCUGAUUUGGAUACGGAUAGAGACCUCUUUAA